CCUACGGGUGGCUGCAGUGGGGAAUAUUGGACAAUGGGCGAAAGCCUGAUCCAGCCAUGCCGCGUGUGUGAAGAAGGCCUUCGGGUUGUAAAGCACUUUCAGUGGGGAAGAAAGCCUUGGGGCUAAUACCCUCGAGGAAGGACAUCACCCACAGAAGAAGCACCGGCUAACUCCGUGCCAGCAGCCGCGGUAAUACGGAGGGUGCGAGCGUUAAUCGGAAUUACUGGGCGUAAAGCGCGCGUAGGCGGUCUGAUAAGCCGGUUGUGAAAGCCCCGGGCUCAACCUGGGAACGGCAUCCGGAACUGUCAGGCUAGAGUGACGGAGAGGAAGGUAGAAUUCCCGGUGUAGCGGUGAAAUGCGUAGAGAUCGGGAGGAAUACCAGUGGCGAAGGCGGCCUUCUGGACUGACACUGACGCUGAGGUGCGAAAGCGUGGGUAGCAAACAGGAUUAGAUACCCGGGUAGUC
rnacentral:rRNA from 1 species